AAUGGCACUGGAAGAAUUCACGG
rnacentral:ncRNA from 11 species